AAUAAAUGAUAAUUGAUUUUGCUGAUUUAGACACAACGUUAAGUCAUAAAACAAAAUGGUCAUAGGAUCCGGGACCGGUCCAACAGAUUUUGAUGCCUAAAGCAUUUAAAAUUCUUAAACAUUUUUAGCCCAUUUAUAAUUAAAAAUCACAAAAACAAACGAAGGCAAGGUUCAAAUCAAACCGUUCACCAAGGAGUCAUUAACAUAUGAAAUUCAAUAAAUUUGUGAAUUUUUGUGAAAGAAAUAUAAAUACUUAUACCUUUACUU
rnacentral:sRNA from 1 species